AAGUGUUUUGUGAUAUUUUAAAGAGUUGUGUGAGCCAUUCUAACCCCCAAAUCCGACCACUCUCCCUCCCUCAUUCACUCUCAUCUGAUUUUUGAAGACUCUCUCAAGUGUUCUCUCCAUUUUGAACCCCAAGAACACCAAAGAAACUUGGAAGCUAAGUCUUGGUCUAGGAAGGGUUUUCCCUAAGUUGGUUAGGGUUUUUGAAAGGUUUUGAAGGAGUCAAAGCUUAUAGGAAGGUCCAAACCUUAAGCAAGAACACCAAAGAGUAUUGGCUAAGCGUAACUGGACUGAACGUUGGAGGGUGAAAACCUGCUGAGCGCUAAGGACUCCAAGUAAGAACAAGGGCAAGGCAGAGCAGUGAGCGCUGGAGUCUUCCUUGCAAAUGUACAUGUGGACCGACCUUUUGGGAAGCCUUUUUAUUUUUGGAAAUGUUGUGUAAUUUUCCUAAACUAGGCUCACUCUAAUCUUUAUAAAACAUGUUUGUAACUAAAUGUUAAGUAUGGCCAUACGACUUUUUAAAAAGUUUUUUUUUCUAUGGGUUUUUGAGACAUUUUGUUAAAUGAAAACAUUUAUAUUUCCGCAUUAUUGAGUCUUGAAAAUCCGGGUCGUUACACUGCUAGCCUCGUGUCUAUGCGAUCCGCAUAAGCCGGCCUUGACCCCUGGCGCCUUGACUUCUCAGGACAUGCAUAGGUUGAAGCCUCCUUGACAUAGGCACGGGAUCACUUGGAGGAACCUUGUUGAUAUGCCAAACGAACAUGGAGCAUUGAACGGGAAUUGAUGAGGACGACCGAGUACGGAACACGUGCGCUGACACGGGGCGUACGGUUGUGGAGAGAACAGAGGCACAACCCUAUGAUCUGUGUCUGAGGAGUAGUGGCGGUACGGACCUGUACGAAGAGUAGUGGUACCACUUGGACACCCCCGACCAUAUGCCAGAGUCGACAGUACUUUGUCCUGGGCCACGGCUCUGACACCACCAGGGUAGACACCACUACGCCCUGAGCCACUACACUACCAGAGUACCUGUGUACGUCCCUGUGGUUUGGGACUUGUUUGUAUCCUGGGCCAAUAGAGCCCCCCCUAUAAAUAGGCACCAACCCCUCAGGAUAAG